rnacentral:rRNA from 1 species
UACGUAGGGUGCAAGCGUUAAUCGGAAUUACUGGGCGUAAAGCGUGCGCAGGCGGUUGUGCAAGACCGAUGUGAAAUCCCCGGGCUUAACCUGGGAAUGGCAUUGGUGACUGCACGGCUAGAGUGUGUCAGAGGGGGUAGAAUUCCACGUGUAGCAGUGAAAUGCGUAGAGAUGUGGAGGAAUACCGAUGGCGAAGGCAGCCCC